rnacentral:ncRNA from 1 species
CAAAGGUAUGGUCCCUAGCUUACUAUCAGCUCUAGCUCAACUUACACAUGCGAGUCUCCGCAGCCCAGUGAAUACGCCCUCGACACCCGUUCGGCAGAUGAGGAGCAGACAUCAGGCACAAGUAUUAGCCCAAGACGUCCAGCUAAGCCACACCCCCGAGGGUAUUCAGCAGUGAUAAACAUUAAGCAAUAAGUGAAAACUUGACUUAAUUAGUGUUAUUUAGGGCCGGUAAAUACUCGUGCCAGCCACCGCGGUUAUACAAGAGACCCUAGUUGAUAGCUACGGCGUAAAGAGUGGUUAGGAAUAUAAAACAAAUAAAGUCAAACAACCUCCUCGCAGUUAUAAGCAUUUUGAGAGCAUGAAGCCCUAUUACGAAAGUAACUUUAUUACCUCCGACCCCACGAAAGCUGAGAAACAAACUGGGAUUAGAUACCCCACUAUGCUCAGUCUUAAACUUACAUGUUUACACUACAAAAACAUCCGCCAGGGUACUACAAGCGCUAGCUUAAAACCCAAAGGACUUGACGGUGUCUCAGAACCAUCUAGAGGAGCCUGUCCUAGAACCGAUAUUCCCCGUUUAACCUCACCACCCCUUGCCAUUUCAGCCUAUAUACCGCCGUCGCAAGCUUACCCUGUGAAGGGAAAAAAGUAAGCAAAAUGGGUUUUCCCCAGAACGUCAGGUCAAGGUGUACCCUACCAGGUGGGAAGAGAUUGGCUACAUUUUCUUCAUCAUAAUAUACGAACGGAACUGUGAAAUCAGAUCCUGAAGGUGGAUUUAGUAGUAAAAAUCAAGUAGAGAGUCAUUUUGAAACAGGCUCUGAGACGCGUACACACCGCCCGUCACCCUCCCCAACCUUUAACCUAAAACACGUAAUUAACCAAACAAUUAUUACCACGGGGAGAUAAGUCGUAACAAGGUAAGUGUACCGGAAGGUGCACUUGGAACAU